AACGAACGCUGGCGGCAUGCCUAACACAUGCAAGUCGAACGAGACCUUCGGGUCUAGUGGCGCACGGGUGCGUAACGCGUGGGAACCUGCCCUUAGGUUCGGAAUAACUCUCCGAAAGGGGGGCUAAUACCGGAUAAGGUCUUCGGACCAAAGAUUUAUCGCCUUUGGAUGGGCCCGCGUUGGAUUAGCUAGUUGGUAGGGUAAAAGCCUACCAAGGCGACGAUCCAUAGCUGGUCUGAGAGGAUGAUCAGCCACACUGGGACUGAGACACGGCCCAGACUCCUACGGGAGGCAGCAGUGGGGAAUCUUAGACAAUGGGCGAAAGCCUGAUCCAGCCAUGCCGCGUGAGUGAUGAAGGCCUUAGGGUUGUAAAGCUCUUUUACCCGGGAUGAUAAUGACAGUACCGGGAGAAUAAGCCCCGGCUAACUCCGUG
rnacentral:rRNA from 1 species